UCAAAGGAACGCCAAAUUUUCACAAUAAAAUAAAAAAAAAAAGUUUUUUACACCCUCCACAUCUAUAAAUAGAUAACUCAAUGCGACUUAUUAGUUUAUUCAUAAGUUAAGUAAUAAAUCUUUAGGUGAAGAUUGUAGCGAGUGAUAAUGAUGAACAAGGGACACUUUGGAUUUUUCUUCAUUUUACUUCUUCUCCUUACUUGUGAUAUGAUGGAACAAACUGAGGGAUGGGGCUGUGAUCCUGCCGAAUGUGAUUUGAAAUGUAUUGCUGCAGGUUAUCCGCGUGGUGGUCAAUGCAUUAAUAAAAUUAGAUGCGUCUGCAAGAAAUCCAUUGCGGGGGUAAUGAAAGAACAUAUGCAAGGGGAGCAUUUGUAAAUAGUUCCGUUUAUUAUUAGCACACGAGUGUUCGAGUAGAGAUCCUUUCAUUUUUCAAAACAAUUUGAUGGUCUUAAUUUGAUGGUGUUAGUUUUCAUUUUCUGAUUAGUAAGGAGUGGUAUAUACCCCUUAUAAUCAUUUGUGUCUUGUUUCAUUUUAUUUAAUCUAAAAUUUCUUUUAGUUGCUUAUGGGUUUUAGAUUGGCUUUGAGCUUGCUGCGCCAAUUAUUAUGAUACUUUAGUUCUGCAUUUGUGCUGUAUUUUUAAUCAAAAUGUAAUGAAAUAGCACUAUUUUCAUUUUA